UGUUUCAGAUGAAACAGCCAAAUCUGAAUAUCAGAAGACACUGCAGUCUACCAAUGCAUGAUCUCUACAGUUCUGAGA
ensembl:snoRNA